rfam:Glossina palpalis gambiensis isolate 146720 unplaced genomic scaffold Scaffold245, whole genome shotgun sequence.
GCAGAAGUAGCGUGUUGGGGGUAAUUUUUAAUACGUAUGCGCCAUGGAUGGCGAAUCGUGCAUGCUGCUACUAAGAACCAGCGGUAUCUUUUGAAGAUUUUCUACCUCCAGC